CCUACGGGAGGCAGCAGUGAGGAAUAUUGGUCAAUGGCCGCAGGGCUGAACCAGCCAAGUCGCGUGAGGGAUGACGGUCCUAUGGAUUGUAAACCUCUUUUGUCAGGGAGCAAAGGGCGCCACGUGUGGCGUUUUGCGGGUAACUGAAGAAACAGCAUCGGCUCACUCCGUGCCAGAAGCCGCGGUAAUAGGGAGGAUGCGAAUGUUAUCCGGAUUUAUUGGGUUUAAAGGGUGCGCAGGCGGAGUGUAAAGUCAGAGGUAAAAUUUCGGGGCUCAACCCCGGCGUGCCGUUGAAACUGGGGUUCAUGCGUGAGCGAGAAGUAUGCGGAAUGCGUGGUGUAGCGGUGAAAUGCAUAGAUAGCACGCAGAACUCCGAUUGCGAAGGCAGCAUACAGGCGCUCAACUGACGCUCAUGCACGAAAGCGUGGGUAUCGAACAGGAUUAGAUACACUUGUAGUC
rnacentral:rRNA from 1 species